UUCGGAUUGUAGUCUGCAACCCGACUACAUGAAGCUGGAAUCGCUAGUAAUCGCGAAUCAGAAUGUCGCGGUGAAUACGUUCCCGGGUCUUGUACACACCGCCCGUCACACCAUGGGAGUCGGGAAUGCCCGAAGUCUGUGACCCAACCGGAAGGAAGGAGCAGCCGAAGGCAGGUCUGAUGACUGGGGUGAAGUCGUAACAAGGUACC
rnacentral:rRNA from 1 species